rnacentral:snoRNA from 2 species
CCCCUCUCAGGGUCACCCCUGGAGAGUUUCCUGUACUCUACCAGUCUCAACUAUGAGAGGGAGAGUUAAGCAGAGGCCUGUCCUUUCCAUUCCUAGCUCGGGCAGUGGUUAGCAAGUGGAAGGCAAUCUGCUACAAGU